rnacentral:tRNA from 1 species
GCGAUUGUAGUCUAGUGGUAUGACAGUGGCUUCCCAAGCCACUAUCUCGGGUUCGAAUCCCGGCAGUCGCA